AAAAUGGGUGUGGGGUGGGGGUUGGGGGGAAUUUCUGUUUUUGACUUAGACAGAAAGAGCAAAUCCACAAGACCGUGGACCUUCAGCCACAAGGAGGCACUGUGGACUCACAGUCCUUAAUGCAAGGCACCCUGGGAGGGUUGACAGAGUGGCCCAGGAGGGGCCAGUUAAGAGAAUUCUUGGUCAUGCCUGCAUCAGGUAGGGGGUUUGAGUUCACUGGGUUCACUGGUCCUGGGACACGUGGAGCUAACAGGCUCCUCACCGCCUAGGGAAGUGGAGACCUGCCUUGAACCUGAGUGGGCACCAAGGGGGCUGUCUCCCGGAGCCUGUACAGGAAGUGGAUGGUGAAGGGGUUGGAGCAGCAAGGGCUGGGUAAUUGGUGUCAGGCAGGGGCAGGCAGAGGGAAAUCAGGCAUGUUGUGGGCUGUGGGGAUGGCGCUCAGUUCACAUCCACCCUUUGUUGAGGGGCUUGCAUGACAGGAAUGGCACAUAGUGUCACCUACUCUGGGUGCUGCCCAGGGGGACACUGGGCCCAGGUGUCUGCAGAGAGAGUAAUAGCAGAGCAGUGACGUCAGAGCAGUGACUUCACAGGCAAAUGCUCCUAUCACGGAAACGGGAGGUUCACAACUGUAGACCACUCACCCCAGGAUCCCUCGCCCCUGAGCUGGGAGACGUCUUGGGUUCCUGAUGCUGCCAUGGGCUCCAGGCUCCUCUGCUGUGUGGCUCUUUGUCUCCUGGGAGCAGGCCCAGUGGAUUCUGGAGUCAUCCAAACCCCAAGACACCUGAUCAAAGCAAAAGGACAGCAAAUGACACUGAGAUGUUCGCCUAUAUCUACACAUCCCUAUGUGUACUGGUACCAACAGGUUCUUGGUCAGGGACCCCGGUUCCUCAUUCAGUAUUUCGAUGAGAAAGAGAAUGACAGAGGAGACAGCUCAGAUCGAUUCUCAGGGAAGCAGUUCAGUAACUAUAGCUCUGAGCUGAAGGUGAGUGUCUUGGAGCUGGUGGACUCCGCCCUAUAUCUCUGUGCCAGCAGCUUGGCACAGCCCUGCAUGAUCAGCAGCCUACAGCACAAAAACUUUCCUGCCCCAGCUCAGGAAGUGACACCAAGGGUGGCGGCUGCCAGACAGACAGACUCAGUCCCUCAUAUAUCAGGAGGUCAUCGGCAGCUCCGAGCAGCCAUCAGCUUGUCACAGAGAAAGGUCAGUCACAGGUGUGAGGUUGCUCUGCUUGGUGAUGUCCAGCCCGAAACCCUGGAAGCAAGUGCUCUGGCGAAUAUGAAGGUGCUCUAG